UCUCCAUUUUUGUCAACUAAGAACGUCGUAAAGAAAUUUAAAAACGGCAAAAUAAGAAUUCAGAAUCAAAUUAACUGAAAGGCGUCAUGGUAGUUUCCAUAGUCUAACUGUAACGCCAACUUGAUUCUUUUAUACGUGUACACCCCUCGAAUUGAUUUCCAAAUUAUCCAACAAAGGAUGUGGAGUGCUUUCUGAUGAAACGUUUCCGUUGUUAUAGGAAACGCG